rnacentral:rRNA from 1 species
AACGCUGGCGGCGUGCCUAAUACAUGCAAGUCGAACGCUUUUUCUUUCACCGGAGCUUGCUCCACCGAAAGAAAAGGAGUGGCGAACGGGUGAGUAACACGUGGGUAACCUGCCCAUCAGAAGGGGAUAACACUUGGAAACAGGUGCUAAUACCGUAUAACAAUCGAAACCGCAUGGUUUCGGUUUGAAAGGCGCUUUUGCGUCACUGAUGGAUGGACCCGCGGUGCAUUAGCUAGUUGGUGAGGUAACGGCUCACCAAGGCAACGAUGCAUAGCCGACCUGAGAGGGUGAUCGGCCACAUUGGGACUGAGACACGGCCCAAACUCCUACGGGAGGCAGCAGUAGGGAAUCUUCGGCAAUGGACGGAAGUCUGACCGAGCAACGCCGCGUGAGUGAAGAAGGUUUUCGGAUCGUAAAACUCUGUUGUUAGAGAAGAACAAGGAUGAGAGUAGAAUGUUCAUCCCUUGACGGUAUCUAACCAGAAAGCCACGGCUAACUACGUGCCAGCAGCCGCGGUAAUACGUAGGUGGCAAGCGUUGUCCGGAUUUAUUGGGCGUAAAGCGAGCGCAGGCGGUUUCUUAAGUCUGAUGUGAAAGCCCCCGGCUCAACCGGGGAGGGUCAUUGGAAACUGGGAAACUUGAGUGCAGAAGAGGAGAGUGGAAUUCCAUGUGUAGCGGUGAAAUGCGUAGAUAUAUGGAGGAACACCAGUGGCGAAGGCGGCUCUCUGGUCUGUAACUGACGCUGAGGCUCGAAAGCGUGGGGAGCAAACAGG